rnacentral:rRNA from 1 species
UACGUAGGGAGCAAGCGUUGUUCGGAUUUACUGGGCGUAAAGGGCGCGUAGGCGGCGCGGUAAGUCACUUGUGAAAUCCCACGGCUCACCCGUGGAACUGCUGGGCAUACUGGGCGUCUUGGGCCAACUAGGGGCAGCCGGAACAAGCGGUGGAGCGGUGAAAUGCGUAGAUAUCGCUUGGAACGCCGAAGGUGAAAACAGGCUGCUGGGGUUGUGCCGACGCUGAGACACGAAAGCCAGGGGAGCAAACGGG